GAUGAACGCUAGCGGCAGGCUUAAUACAUGCAAGUCGAGGGGCAGCAGGGGUAGCAAUACCCGCUGGCGACCGGCAAACGGGUGCGCAACACGUACAGAACCUUCCUUUAAGCGGGGGAUAGCCCAUAGAAAUGUGGAUUAAUACCCCAUAGUAUUAUUGACUGGCAUCAGUUAAUAAUUAAAGAUUAUCACUUAAAGAUGGCUGUGCGUCUGAUUAGGUAGUUGGNGGGGUAACGGCCCACCAAGCCAUCGAUCAGUAACUGGUGUGAGAGCACGACCAGUCACACGGGCACUGAGACACGGGCCCG
rnacentral:rRNA from 1 species